CCAGGUGCAAAGGGAACCAUCCCCAUUUUUCUAUCCAUCACGGACACAAUUCAUUCAAUCAAGGCACACACAAAUCUUUCCAACGCGAAAGGGAAAAGACGAUCCGCUAAAUUCCUGCACCCAACUACAAGGGCGGAAGCAGGCAAACAUAAAAAAAAAUCACACAAUCCAGGGGCAAGAUCGACGAUCUUUGGCGGGGUAAGGUCAGAUCAGAUCCCGGUGCGCUUUCGACCAUCCCAUGUUGCAGGCUUCUUCAACCCUCCGUACUGAUGGCUAUUGGUUUGAUGUUUACUUCUGCGACUCCAGAGCCUUCAGGACUUCCUCUCCCAUUCGCUUGCAUCCAACCAAUGUCUGCAGCGCAAGAACAAAACUACGUAAGUUCGGAAAAAAGAGGAAACAAGAGCAAAAAGUAGCGCUUGCUAAUGAGUAUAUUCCAGAGCCAGUGAACACAGGCCACAAGUUUGGCAGGCUAAGAAACAGAGGACCAAAUCCUUCUAUUUUGUCAAACUAUCUAAGUACUCGUAAUUGAUGUGCAAGUAGAGAACAAUCUAAGUACAACUGUACGAAGCAGAUGAAUAUUUAAUUAUUUAUUUGGCAGAAACAUAGGCAUUCGAUUUCUCUUCCAACAUAAUUGUAGCAAAUAUUCAGUGCAGCAAUUAUUCAACAUGUUGCAUGGACUAAUCUUACCGUCCCAGGAGAAUAUAUGUCCCCAGUUCGGAACCCAUUGUCCAGUGUCUCUGUAACCGCGGCUUCGAUUCUCUUUGCAGCACUUUCUACACCAAGGCCAUAUUUCAAUAGCAUCGCAGCACUAAGAAUUGUAGCUAACGGGUUUGCCUUGUCCUGCACUCAGCAAAUUGUAGGAGGGAG
rnacentral:lncRNA from 1 species